rnacentral:tRNA from 1 species
GCAUCGGUGUUUCAGUGAUAGAAUGCUCGCCUGCCACGCGGCCGGCCUGAGUUUGAUUCCCGGCCGAUGCA